rnacentral:sRNA from 1 species
UCGAUCUGUUGGGGGCAGAUAAAAUGAAUAUGUGGGUCGAUGCCGCCUGCAGUUAUGAUCUUUCCUUCGCCGGCGAUCGCUUCUGUGCCGGGACCUAUGACAAUGUCAACGUUUGAUUGAAUAUCCGGAUUUCCAGCUUUCCCAAUCGCCAUGACACGUCCAUCUUUAAUCCCAAUGUCGGCUUUUAUUACACCCCAAUGGUCGAGAAUUACUGCAUUGGUGAUCACGGUGUCUGCUGCCCCGUCUGCGCGUGUCACUUGCGACUGCCCCAUGCCGUCACG